rnacentral:lncRNA from 10 species
GUAUCAGAAGCUCUCAUAUUGUAAGUUCUAGAAGCUGAGAAGUCCAACAUCAAGGCACAGGCAGGUGGCAGGUUUGAUUGUCUGGUGAAGGCUGCCCUCUGCUUCCAAGAUGGACCCUUGUUGUUGCAUUUUCUGGAAAAAAGGAACACUGUGUUCUCAGAUGGCUGAAAGCAGAAGGAACCUCAGGCCAAGUGUUCUUGACAGCUCAUCCACAGACUCCCACUGGUAAAGCAGCAUGAGGAUGGCUUCUGUUAUUUUAUUUCAGAAUUUUUUCCUGCAGUGGCAUGCCAGUACCAGCUGAGGAUCAUGUAUGCAAUAUUUGCCUUCUUUCAUCUUCUACCUAGGAUGGCUUUAAUUCUCUUCGAGGAGAAUUUAUUUUAGUUUUUCCCAGUAAGAGAAUCCACUUCUCUUGCCCAUAUUCAUAAAUUAUCAUUAAAAAUUAAACUUGGUACAAUAAAUAUUAACAUGGUUCCAGCUUCUCCAUUGUUAUGCUCAGAAUUCAGUUCAUUGGCAGGAUCUAGGCAUAGGAUCAGUCCAAAGUUGGGCCAAGGCACAAGGAAGGUUUGCACAAGUUUAGAGCAUCAUUGAGAAUCCAUAUGGCAUCAAAUUCUGACCAUCAGAACCAAUCAUUUUAGUCAAAUUGCUGAGACACAAAUUAAGUCCAGGAAUCGGUAG